rnacentral:lncRNA from 1 species
GUGUACACAUGAUGAAUUCAUUCAUGUCUGCUGUCCAUUUCAUAUGUUGGCGUGGUUUUCCAGCCUUGGUGGUCACUGGCUGAGUUGCUUGGGAAACACUGGCUGGUUGGGUUCUGAUGUGGUUAAUGUUUCCUACUACGGCUGUGUGUAUUGCAGUACCAAACUUGGAUUGGUGUUGCUUUCUAUUAGAGCCAACCAUGCUCUGCUACCAAUUUUGUUGUUCUACGUGGUUCUGGCUUUUCCCGGUUUUGUAGACACAAAACAUAACAAAAUAAAAAAAACAUUAGUCUUUAUUAUGUUACAAUACUUCUGUAGCAUACCUUAAGAGUUUAAUACAAAAUAAAAAAAAAGGAACUCACAAAGAUACAAUCUUCCACAGUCUUGCUACAUGUCGAGAAGAAGAAAGAAAGGAAAAAGUGUUGCCAGCAGAAAAAAAAAC